AAGGGAGACCUAAUUCCGGUAGGAGACGAAAAAAAAGUAGUCCCAACCAAGAAUCAAUCCCAAAAGGUCGGAACGAGGUAUGAGGCUUUCAAACUAGGUUCUGGGUUCAUAAAAGACCUGAAUCAGGAACAAGGGCUAUUAGCUCAGGUGGUUAGAGCGCACCCCUGAUAAGGGUGAGGUCCCUGGUUCGAGUCCAGGAUGGCCCACCUGCACAGGUGGCAAAAACAAGAGAAGCUCCGAAUCAGCACCUUAUCUUAUAUACAUAUAUAAGAGAGAAUGCUGGCUCUGAGUAAAGAGUCCAGAGGAACCUUGAAAACUGCAUAGAGCUAGGUGAAAAAGCCAAAAAAGAAGGCCGCAA
rnacentral:tRNA from 1 species